GACGUAGGGGGCCAGCGUUGUUCGGAAUUACUGGGUGUAAAGGGUUCGUAGGCGGUGUAGCAAGUCGGGAGUGAAAUCUCUGGGCUUAACCCAGAGGCUGCUUCCGAAACUGCUGUGCUUGAGUGUGGGAGAGGCGCGUGGAAUUGCAGGUGUAGCGGUGAAAUGCGUAGAUAUCUGCAGGAACACCCGUGGCGAAAGCGGCGCGCUGGACCACUACUGACGCUGAGGAACGAAAGCCAGGGUAGCAAACGGG
rnacentral:rRNA from 1 species